rnacentral:snRNA from 1 species
GUUUGUGAUGGUGUUUUAGCUCUGACAUUGACCACUUUAUUGAGUAGUAAGUUUGUUUAAUUGACUUGGCUAGCUAGGUAUGUAUCUCUUUUCCUCUUCACCUCUCUGCCCAUGUGUCUUUAGAUUGUAUCACAGAGAACAAACUUUCCAGGUGGGAAAGGGCUGUUUAUUAGCCAAAGGUAUAAUGUAA